rnacentral:tRNA from 1 species
GAGGGUAUAACUCAGUGGUAGAGUGAAUGCCUAGCAUGCAGGUAGUCCUGGGUUCAACUCCCAGUAUCUCCA